UGCUAGUUUUUCCAUUCUUGAGAUACUUCACUUAGUAGAAUGGGUUCCUCUUUCCUUGCUUGCCACUUCCAUUCAAUUCUCCACACAGCAGCCAGAGAAAGCCUUUAAAAACUUAACUCAGAUCGUGACACGUCUCUGCUCGAAACCUGUCAGUGGUUCCCCAUUUUGCACCCCAGUCAGGGUAAAACCCAGAUCCCUUGCUAUGCAGUAGCCACAGGAUCUGGGCCCUGCACCUGCUGACCUCACCUCCCUCCACUGCUCCCUGCUCUCGCUCUGCUCUGGAUACACAGCACCUUGCUGUCCUCAAACGUGCCACACAUGGGCAUGGCACAUGUGGUUGCAGUUGUUCUCUCUGCCUGGAGGUCUCUUACCUCGGAUAGUCCACGACUCACCCUCUUGUUUCCACUCAGGUCUGUGCUCAAACAUCGGCUGAAAGAGGCUCUCCUUGGCUGCCACGUGCCAUUGUCACACCAUUGUCUUGCCCCAAUUUGUUUUUCUUCUUGACAUUCAGCACCCUGGUUGUACUAAAUGUCUCCCCACACUUGCAUGUAAAUUCCAUGGUAUUUACUGCUGUGUCCCCGGGGCUAUAAGAGUGACCUCCUGGACGUGACAGUCACGUCCAGUAUUUAUCGACUGAGUGAUGUCCUGAUUCAGCGAAGUCGUUUAGUCUCACAGGUCAUCUGACCAUCAUUCCAUGAGUCCUGGCUCUAGCCCUCACUCUGAUGACCCAGACACAAAACUCAGCUCCUUCCUUUAUUUCCAUGAAAGAAAACACUCACAAAAGCACUCAUUAAGGCAUUUGUGAGUUGAUGAAUUUUAUUGGAGACUAUGGAAUGUUCAGGGCAGACAUAAAAGAGGUCCCAAUCAAGACAGCACACAAAAAUUCAGAAAGAAAUCUUUGUGAUUGAAAUGUGUGGUCAUUUCAGGACUAGAGAGAAUUUCCAUGGAGCACCUGAUCCCAUCUGUGUCAGCCUCACCUCAUCCCACUGGUGGCAGGUUCCUCUCUUUCUCAAUCUCUCUUUCACUCUUUGCUUUCUUCAUUUUUGUUUCAUUUCUUCUAUUUCUUCUCCUCCCACUCCAGGAGUAAAACCACCUUCUUUUCAUCUUCUCAUAUAGAGCCACGUAGCUUUCUCUUUCAUUGCCUUGGUGUUUUCCAAAGUUUAGGUACUCAGAAUUGCCCUUCAAUCCCCACGUGACUUCUCAAGGGAUUUCUCUCAACGAAAACAGUUCCCCCAUAUAAAGGAAUUCUGAUGCUAACUAAUAAUAUAAUUUAGAUGUCCACAUCUGCUGUGUUUGUGUUAGUUUCAGAUUGUUAUCUCUUUGUGAAGAAGAGCCAUGUUUUACUGAACUCAGAAGACGUUUAGAAAAUACUUGAUGAUGUGACCAACUCCCUGUGGGCUCUGAGUUCAGAGAGAGUAAAAGAACUAUUUGGAGCAGCGUGUUGUGAUUAUUGCACCUAGAAAUCAGGAAUGAUUCCCAUGUCUGUGGGACCUCACGGAUAACCUAUGGACUAGAACCUCCAGAAAAAAACUCGAGGACAAAAAUGGAAUGAUUCCGUGGCUCAGGAAGUUUCCCCCAAGAACAAGAAGCCAACAUCCAGAGAAGUUAAGCCAUUUCCUCAAAUCACAUUGUUUGUAAGUGUGAAACCAAGAUUUUGAACUCAGUCUGUUGAGUGAUUACCUGGCUUCUAUUAAAUUCUGGAAUGAAAACUCAGCUCCCAUCCUAAGACAAGGUGACCGCAUGGACUUCCUCACAAUACGGUGGUUUUAUGCUACUCGGCCCAGAGCCUCCUGCCCAGGCCCUGGAAGGAGCAGAAGCUGCAGGAGCUCUAGUGACGUCGGCCAAGCCGGGGUGUUCUAUGGCCCAGACGGCAGAGUGGCAAAUAGGCAAUGCCCGGUGGCCCAUCUUGUGGUAGACAUGAUUUUCUGCUCUCAUUGGUCAACCUGAAAGUCAAUCAGCUUAAACAACUGGACCGACUCGGCUUCCUGCCUUCUAACGGAAAGUCAUUUCAAUUCAAUUCAAUAAAUACUGUGGACCUACUAUGUGCAGAGCACAGGAGUGGAAGACAUAUAAAUGACUAUGAUAUUGGUCUUUGUUUCAUGAUGCUACUAACAGAGUAGUGGGAAAAUACAAUUAAAAUUGUGUUUAUCCAAUGAGUGAGAUGUGCAACAUUUGGGGGA